AGAAAUGAAGAAGGAAGGAAAGAAAGAAAGAGAAAGAAGAAGAAAAAGGAGAAGAAGAAAUCCAAGAAGCCUAGAGGAGUUUGAGGAAAUUUAAAGGAAGUAAUUUUGGAGGCUUGAAGUUGUUGGAAACUUGAAGAUCCAUGGAGUAUGAGGUAUUGAAGCAUGCUAUGGAAGGGUAUGGCAAGAGAAAGGGAAAGUUGCAAGCUUGUGAUUGGAAGCUCUUGGAAUGUAUUACAUUUAUUUUUGUUGUAAAGUUAAGGCUUAAGAAGCCUAGGCAUGUGGUUAUUUUGUGACUUUAUGGCUAGGAGAGCCAUUUGUUGUAUUUCAUCAUGUGUAGUGUUUAUUUAUGGAUGUUGUUGUGUGAACAACAAUAGGUUGUAUAAGGCUUAUGUAUG